GCUUCUUCCUUGUUUUCAGAUCCAUCAGCAUCCCUUUCACUGAAUUUCAAGCGAAUUGGCCGGCCCAUCAGUUCCUUUCCAUCUAAAGCAGAUAGUGCAGCCUCUGCUUGUUCUUUUGUGUCAAAGGUUACGAAACCAUACCCAGCAGCUCUUCCUGAAGCAUUGUCAAAAACAACCCUAGCUGAAAUUGGAUUGUUGUUU
rnacentral:misc_RNA from 1 species